rnacentral:rRNA from 1 species
UACAGGGGGGGCAAGCGUUGUUCGGAAUUACUGGGCGUAAAGGGUUUGUAGGUGGCUUGCUCAGUCAGACGUGAAAUCCCUCAGCUUAACUGGGGAACUGCGUCUGAUACUAGCGAGCUUGAGUGCAGGAGAGGAACGCGGAAUUCCAGGUGUAGCGGUGAAAUGCGUAGAUAUCUGGAGGAACACCGGUGGCGAAGGCGGCGUUCUGGACAGUGACUGACGCUGAGACGCGAAAGCGUGGGGAGCAAACAGG